CGUGCGCAACCGCAAUUUGAUUAUUUUCGGGAAUGUAAUUCCUUUUAUUUCAAAUCGGGUGGUGCAAAAUGCAUCCACGAUAAUUUCUUGAUGAAUAAAUAAAAAUAACACACAUGAGAAAUUCCCUAAAUCCUGUUCGGUUGAGGGUAUUGGGAUGCUGAAGACUGUGAGUGAAGCUCAGAUUAGCGAACGGUCUUCAUGCUGGGAUUUCAAAUUUCGUAUUUUACAAUUUCAUAGAUUUCAUAUUUCACAAUAUCUUAUAGUUCAAACAUUUCAUAAUUUCAUAUUUCACAAUAUCUUAUAGUUCAAACAUUUCAUAGAUUUCAUAUUUUACAUUUUGAUAUUUCAUAUAUUUUAAUUUCUCUUCAUUUCGUAUCAAAUAUUUGUCCUUUCUAAAAUGCUGAUCUCUUCGCAUUUCCUCCUUGUCAUCAAACCUCUGUCUCUGCAAGAGUUUGAACGCUUACCUGUCAAAGGGAUGCAAGAGUUUCAUCUGGCACUGCACGCUUGAGGCCGUGGAGGACGCUGCUUGUAACCUAAAAGUGUGCGAGACCCGUUGGACCCCGGAAGAAGAGAGGAACGUUCAGGGUAACGGCUUAUAACCGCAUGGCUUCCAAGGUACCCACUUUUCCAUCCUUCAAGUAGGAGUCUUUCCGACCUGACAUCGUGCAGUUAUCUUAACUAUUAGAGUCUUUUAAUAUUUAGGCUGAGUUUUAAGAAAUUUGUAGUGGCAAUAAUAUUCACCAAACCGAACCUAAUUAACGACCCUGAAUCCCUUGAGAUUGGCACUAUUACAGUAGUUAUUAUAAUAUAGUAAUUGUUAACUUUACACGAGCAUA